rnacentral:rRNA from 1 species
GAUGAACGCUGGCGGCGUGCCUAAUACAUGCAAGUCGAGCGAACAGAUGAGGAGCUUGCUCCUCUGACGUUAGCGGCGGACGGGUGAGUAACACGUGGAUAACCUACCUAUAAGACUGGGAUAACUUCGGGAAACCGGAGCUAAUACCGGAUAAUAUAUUGAACCGCAUGGUUCAAUAGUGAAAGACGGUUUUGCUGUCACUUAUAGAUGGAUCCGCGCCGCAUUAGCUAGUUGGUAAGGUAACGGCUUACCAAGGCAACGAUGCGUAGCCGACCUGAGAGGGUGAUCGGCCACACUGGAACUGAGACACGGUCCAGACUCCUACGGGAGGCAGCAGUAGGGAAUCUUCGGCAAUGGGCGAAAGCCUGACGGAGCAACGCCGCGUGAGUGAUGAAGGUCUUCGGAUCGUAAAGCUCUGUUAUUAGGGAAGAACAAAUGUGUAAGUAACUAUGCACGUCUUGACGGUACCUAAUGAGAAAGCCACGGCUAACUACGUG